rnacentral:rRNA from 1 species
GACGAACGCUGGCGGCGUGCUUAACACAUGCAAGUCGAGCGGUAAGGCCCUUUCGGGGGUACACGAGCGGCGAACGGGUGAGUAACACGUGGGUGACCUGCCCUUAGCUCUGGGAUAAGCCUGGGAAACUGGGUCUAAUACCGGAUAUGACCUCAUGACGCAUGUUGUGGGGUGGAAAGCCUCGUGCGGCUAGGGAUGGGCCCGCGGCCUAUCAGCUUGUUGGUGGGGUGAUGGCCACCAAGGCGACGACGGGUAGCCGGCCUGAGAGGGCGACCGGCCACACUGGGACUGAGACACGGCCCAGACUCCUACGGGAGGCAGCAGUGGGGAAUCUUGCGCAAUGGGCGAAAGCCUGACGCAGCGACGCCGCGUGAGGGAUGACGGCCUCGG